GACGAACGCUGGCGGCGUGCUUAACACAUGCAAGUCGAACGGAAAGGCCCUGCUUUUGUGGGGUGCUCGAGUGGCGAACGGGUGAGUAACACGUGAGUAACCUGCCCUUGACUUUGGGAUAACUUCAGGAAACUGGGGCUAAUACCGGAUAGGAGCUCCUGCUGCAUGGUGGGGGUUGGAAAGUUUCGGCGGUUGGGGAUGGACUCGCGGCUUAUCAGCUUGUUGGUGGGGUAGUGGCUUACCAAGGCUUUGACGGGUAGCCGGCCUGAGAGGGUGACCGGCCACAAUGGGACUGAGGUACGGCCCAGACUCCUACGGGAGGCAGCGGUGGGGAAUAUUGCACAAUGGGCGGGAGCCUGAUGCAGCAACGCCGGGUGCGGGAAGACGGCCAUCGGGGUGUAAACCGCUUUCACCUGUGACGAAGCGGGAGUGACGGUAAUGGGUAAAGAAGCACCGGCUAACUACGUG
rnacentral:rRNA from 1 species